CCCUUCGUCGAGCGGCGCAGCACAAAACAAAAGCCGAGGCAGGACAAGAGAGCGAACCCUCUCUAAACCCUAGAAACUUAGGCACCGCCCGCCGCCGCCGCUGCUCCCAGGACAGCAGCCAAGGAAGACGAAACCAAGCCUCCGCCAUGCCGAAAUCCAAGCGCAAUCGCUCAGUCACCCUGUCAAAGACCAAGAAGAAGCCGGGGCUAGAGCGGAAGGGCAAGGUGGUCACGGAGAUCAAAGACGCGAUUGAGCGCCACAGCAGCGCCUAUGUCUUCACCUACAACAACAUGAGGAACCAGAAGCUCAAGGACCUCAGGGACCAACUCAAGUCCUCUAGCCGGAUAUUCCUUGCUGGAAAGAAGGUCAUGCAGAUAGCAUUGGGGCGGUCACCUGCUGAUGAAGCUAAGACAGGCCUGCAUAAACUCUCCAAGUUCCUUCAAGGUGCUUCUGGAUUGUUAUUUACAAAUCUCCCAAGGGAUGAUGUCGAGAGAUUAUUCCGAGAAUUUGAGGCGAAUGAUUUUGCGAGGACAGGAAGUAUUGCGACUCAAACGGUUGAGCUAAAGGAAGGCCCUCUGGAACAGUUUUCACAUGAAAUGGAACCCUUUCUGCGCAAACAAGGACUGCCAGUUCGCCUAAACAAAGGUGUUGUUGAAUUGGUUGCAGAUCAUGUAGUAUGUGAAGAAGGAAAGCCCCUUUCACCAGAAGCAGCACACACUCUGCGCGUGCUUGGGACGAAGAUGGCGACGUUCCGACUGUACCUUGUCUGCCGCUGGUCGUCCGAUGACUUUGAAGUGUACAAGGAAGGCUUGGCGCACCUGGGAGGUGAGGAAGCUGACGAGUCUUCUUAAGGUUGUUGGAUUAUCAUGGUGGCGUGCUUGUUGUCUAGCUGUGUUCAGACGGUUUUGUGCCAUGCCUUUGUACCCUUAAUUCGACAGGAAUCUCAAAUAUAUGAUCUGACCCAGUUGGGCAUAUUGUUGAGUGCCAGUAUUUUUGCGAGCUACUAUUAUAGUGGUUCGGCUCAAGGCUGCUGGUGGAUCCGUCCCUCUGAUGUUUGUGUUGCAGUCGCGGUGGUCUAGUCGAGUUGGGUCCUGUUGUUAUGCAACCAUGUUAGCAACAACCAUGUUUCAAGUUUUGCAGUGGACAGUUCUCGCUUCAAUGCCUUGUGUUGUAUCUUUUGCUCUAGUCUAGGUUGGGUUCGGUGUUUUCCUUCUCGUGGAUCUUAGAAAAGGCACCCAAAGGGCAUUGUUAUUUCUGAUUAUUAUGAAUACAAUCGAAGG
rnacentral:rRNA from 1 species